rnacentral:rRNA from 1 species
GUUUUUUGUUUUGAGCGUUUGGUGGAUGCCUUGGCAUCGUGUGCCGAUGAAGGACGUUGUGGCUGGCGAUAGCCUCGGGGAGUUAGCGAGCGUGCGUUGAUCCGGGGGUUUCCGAAUGGGGUAACCUGACCAUAGUUGUGUGUGGUUGGCGCGCAUCGAAGUUUUGAUAGGUGUGUGUUGGUAGGGUGGGAAGUGAAACAUCUUAGUACCGCCUUUUGUGAGAUAGUCCGUGUGUAGUGGUGAGCGAUAGCGGGUGUUGGCUAAACCGUUUGCGUGUGAUACUCGGCAGGGGUUGCGUAGGCGGGGUUGUGGGAUAAAGUCGUUGAGAAUCUGCCGGUUCUUGGAGCGCCCUUGUGUGUGCGAGGUGAACAGGUUGGGAUGCCUGGCCGUAGACCGUGAGAGUCGGGUAGCUGGUUGCGUAUGCGUGGCGUUGGGUUUUGUUCCCGAGUAGCGCGGGGCUCGUGGAAUCUCGUGUGAAUCUGCCCAGACCAUUGGGUAAGCCUGGACGGGCAUGGUGACCGAUAGUGGAUUAGUACCGUGAGGGAAUGGUGAAAAGUACCCCGGGAGGGGAGUGAAAUAGUUCCUGAAACCAAGCGUUUUUAAGCCGUCAGAGCCAUGGAGCCUUCGGGCCCGCGUGGUGGUGGCGUGCCUAUUGAAGAAUGAGCCUGCGAGUUAUGUUGCGUUGCGAGGUUAACCUGUUGUGGGGUAGUCGUAGGGAAACCGAGUCCUGGGGGCGUAAUAGUAGCGUGGCAUAGACCCGAAGCGGGGUGAUCUACCCAUGGCCAGGUUGAAGCGGCGGUAGAACGUCGUGGAGGACCGCACCCACCUAGGUUGAAAACUGGGGGGAUGAGUUGUGGGUAGGGGUGAAAGGCCAAUCAAACUCCGUGAUAGCUGGUUCUCCCCGAAAUAUAUUUAGGUAUAGCGUUCCAUUUUUUGCUUGCGUGUGGUAGAGCUACUGGUUGGUUGAUGGGCCUUGUUGGUUACUGAGAUCUGCUAAACUCCGAAUGCGCGUUAAGUUGGUGGGGCAGUCAGACAGCGGGGGAUAAGCUUCGUUGUCGAGAGGGAAACAGCCCUGAUCAUCGGUUAAGGUCCCUAAGUGUGUGCUGAGUGGAAAAGGAUGUGUAGUUGCGUUGACAGCCAGGAGGUUGGCUUAGAAGCAGCCACCCUUGAAAGAGUGCGUAAUAGCUUACUGGUCGAGUGAUUGUGCGCCGAUAAUGUAGUGGGGCUUAAGCAUGCCACCGAAACUGUGACUACAAUGCUUUUGGUGUUGUGGGGUAGGGGAGCGUCCUGCAUUGUUGUAGCGGCCUGGUGAUGGGUCGUGUGUGGUGUGGGAGUGAGAAUGCAGGCAUGAGUAGCGAGUCCAGCGUGAGAAUCGCUGGCGCCGAUAAACUAAGGGUUCCAGGGGAAGGUUUAUCCGCCCUGGGUUAGUCGGGUCCUAAGGCGAGGCCGUCAGGCGUAGUCGAUGGUUGAGCAGUUGAUAUUCUGCUACCGGGAUCAGACCGUGUAUAGCGCUUUUUCUUUUGAGCUUGACGCCCUUUUCGGUUCUUGUCUUCCUUCGGGUUGGCAGGAACUGUUGGGUUUUGGGUUUUUGGUUUGAGUGUUUUAGCUUCGUGGUGACACAGUGAGAUUGCCUGGCGCGGUGGUGGUUUACCGUGUUCAAGCCUGUAGCCUGUCUUCUAGGCAAAUCCGGAAGACGCGUAUGGUGAGGGGUGAUGGUGGGGCCCGUUUUUGGGUUGAUAACAGGGUUGGUCUGUACUGUCGAGAAAAGCUGCGUUGUGAGGUGUGUUUCCGCCCGUACCCUAAACCGACUCUGGUAGUUGGGUAGAGAAUACUAAGGCGAGCGAGUGAAUCGUGGUUAAGGAAUUCGGCAAAUUGCCUCCGUAACUUCGGGAGAAGGAGGCCCCACCCCUUGAAGAGCGUUUUCUGUUCUAGGGGGUGUGGGGUGCAAUAGCAAGAUGGAAGCGACUGUUUAUCAAAAACAUAGGUGCGUGCGAAGCUGUAAGGCGAGGUAUACGCACUGACGCCUGCCCGGUGCCGGAAGGUUAAGAGGAGCUGUCAGCCCUUUUGGGCGAAGCGGUGAAUUUAAGCCCCGGUAAACGGCGGUGGUAACUAUAACCAUCCUAAGGUAGCGAAAUUCCUUGUCGGGUAAGUUCCGACCUGCACGAAUGGCGUAACGACUUCUGUGCUGUCUUGA